rnacentral:rRNA from 1 species
GGAUGAAUAUUGGUCAAUGGUCGGAAGACUGAACCAGCCAUGCCGCGUGCAGGAAGGAGGUCCUAUGGAUUGUAAACUGCUUUUUUCGGGGAAUAAUAAGACUUUUGCGAAGGUUGAUGCAGGUACCCGAAGAAUAAGGAUCGGCUAACUCCGUGCCAGCAGCCGCGGUAAUACGGAGGAUGCGAGCGUUAUCCGGAUUCAUUGGGUUUAAAGGGUGCGUAGGUUGCUUGUUAAGUCAGCGGUGAAAGUCAGUGGCUCAACCAUUGAAUUGCCGUUGAAACUGGCGAGCUUGAGUACGUACGGGGCAGGCGGAAUGCGUGGUGUAGCGGUGAAAUGCAUAGAUAUCACGCAGAACCCCGAUCGCGAAGGCAGCCUGCCAGGCCGUGACUGACACUGAUGCACGAAAGCGUGGGUAUCGAACAGGAUUAGAUACCCUGGUAGU